AUGAGCAGCAGCGAAGGGAGGACAAGGAGACGACGGCGGCGGCGGCGGCGGGGAGCGGCAGCAGCAGGCCAAGGCGGCGCUGCCCUUCUCCGCCAUGUGCAUGCGGAUCUCCCGCGACUCCUACCCCAACCUCCACGCCCUCCACAAUGCCUCCAACGACAGCCUCACCGACACCGCCUAUGUCAGGAUCUCCGAGGGCGACUUCAGAUACGUCCUCGACGACGUGCCCCACCUCGCCGACUACCUCCCCGUGAGCAGCCACCCCUGGAUGCGAAGAGCUUGCCUCCGGCGGCAGAGGGAACCUGCACACAGAGGGCGACCCCAUGGAUUCAUCCCUACAGAAGAGAAGAUGUGGAGGGAGGAUAG
rnacentral:rRNA from 1 species